rnacentral:rRNA from 1 species
UGGUGGAGUGAUUUGUCUGGUUAAUUCCGAUAACGAACGAGACCCCGUCCUACUUACUAGACUUGAGAUGAUUUUCAUCUCUUGAAUCUUCUUAGAGGGACAAUUGGCGUAAAUCUAGCUACAUGAAAUGGGGCAAUAACA